GUUCUGAAUAUGUUAUUGUAAUAUGUCCACAUUGGUCAUCUUCAAAAGCUUAAUUUCUGUGUCAUAAAAAAGAGAGUGUUAUUAGAAAGAUGGUUUUGGUACCAAACUACAGUGAAGAACAUAAGGUUUUAUGUAACUGUGAUAUUACUGCUCCUUUUCUGGUGUACAAAAUGUAUUCAUGCCCUCUAAUUGUAUGGGUCUUGCAACAUAUUGUUUAUGGUAAUAACCUUUUGAUUCGGGUAUUUGCCCUUCUCUUAUGCUCCAGCCACCUAUGAAAAUAGGCACACUUGUAUGCUGAUACAUAAAACUGGUAUACCCUAUAAUCCCCAAGGACAGGGGAUUGUUGAAGGAGCUCUUAAUGCCCUUAAACAUCAGCUUCAGAAAAUAAAGAAGGGGGAGUUAUACCCCUUGUCUCCUCAGAAUCUCUUAAACCAUACCCUUUUCAUUUUGAAUUUUCCAAUGUAUGAAUAAGACACCCACCAAUAACAGGAUCAUACCAUGGGCCAGAUGUAGAGUGGACCGGCCAGCCAUCUAUAACUUCACCGAUCAACAAGAAGUGCUACAGGAUUGGAGUGCCCAAUUGGACAAUUGUCAAGGUACUGUUCGACUAGUGACGGCUGGCACCGUCAUUCCGCCCCACCGCCAUGGCACCCACAGGAGACUCCCAAGUCAGAACUCCCAGCUGAGCCCAGUCAACCCACAGCGUACUGUGAGACAAUAAACUGAGGAUUCGGAAGGGCACGUGGUGACCAGCCUGUAUAACCUCCAGCUCCAGACCCUCACUCGUGGAGUGGCCUGAGUCUCCUGCCAUGGCCCUGCUGGGCAGUCACCUGAGUCCCAGGAAAAACAGAGCCUCCUAUGAGUGAAACCACCACAGAGGGAUGAUCACUUCAUGGGAAUGGAAUUGCCCUGGAAGCCAUGUGGAUUCCUCUGGAGCUACCAAACUGCCCGAGGUAAUGAUCAGCCGGGCUCCAGCUCAGCCAGUGCUCUUCCUUCUUUUGUGGGCGAGCCAGUGUCAGAGUUUGGCUCCUGCAGCUACUUCAUCAGGAGUCUUCUUAUCUUCUCUUUUCCUUUCCAAAUAAAGCUUUUCUCUGUAAAUUCGUGUUUUAGUCUUAAUUUCCAUUUUCACUAACAGCAAGGACACACACUAGCAGGCAACAAAAGUGUUCCUCAGGCCACUACAUUUUAGGGUGGUUUAUUACUUAGAAACAUAACUUGAGAGCCAGGUGGGGUGGCACACGCCUGUAAUCCCAGCACUUGGGAUGCUGAGGCAGGAGGAUCACCAGGAGGCCAGCCUGGGCUACAUAGUGAGUUCAAGCCCAGCCUGGACUGCAUAGUGAAACCUUGUCUCAAGAAAAAGAAAUAAAACAAAACCCCCCCAAACAAACAUAACUUGAACACUCCUCUAGGGAGCCAAGUGCUUUCAGAAACAUAGUUCCUCUCUUGGAUGAAAAAAUCUUCUUUUUAGUGGCUAUUCAGGAAGGGUUCACACAGCUAGCGGAAAGAUACAAGUUCCAGUGUGCAUAUCGUACCAGCUCACAAGUCAGGUAACUCCACCUCAGAGCAUUCUAGUGCUUUCCUCCCCUUCCACCUGCCCAUUUCUUCCUCCUCUCCAUCCCCUUCUUCCUAUCUGCUAUUCCAAAAUGACCACAAUGGAAUGAAGCAUGGUGGGGUAUAUCUGUAAUCCCAGUACAGCGGGAGGCUGAGGCAGGAGAAUUGCAAGUUCCAGUCCCAUCUGAACAACUUAGUGAGAUCCUACCUCAAAAAAAUUUUUAAAAGGGGCUAGGGAUAUAGCUCAGUGCAAAGGCCCUGGCUUCAAUCCCUAGUAAUGCAAACAAAACAAACAAAGGAAAAAAACUACCAUGAAAACAGAUUCUUAGAAGUCUGGAUUCAUAUGAGAAAACUGUCGAGGUGCGAGGAACGUGAAAAUCUCAGGCUAACACUCCAGCCAGCCUCUAGGUUCUCAUAGUGGUGGUAAGUUUAUCUUCAUUUUACACACAAGGGCAAAGAGAAUCCCUCAAUAAUUAAAUACCAAUUAGAAUUAAGAAAAAGGUCUUUCUAAAAUUGUAUUACUGUUCAACGGGGAAAUCGGAUGUAAUUUUGCUUUUUUAAUUCACAAGAGUGCCUGGUAUUGGCACAAUCUGGUGGGAGUUGCCUGGCAGAACUGCAGAACCAAGACUGGCCCCCUUUCCUCAGAGCCUGGGUGGCAGCCAGCUUUGUCACCACUCCCACAUUCCAACGCCGAGGUCUGGGAGGAAGUGGGAGAGAUUGUUGUAGUAGGUGUCAUGUCUGCACAACGCCUGACUCAUUUCCAGACACGGUGGGCGGCGUUGUCGUGGGGACAAUGACGCCCUUCAAGAUGUUUUCUGUGGGAAAUACAGGGGUCUCUGUGAGUCCUUUUGCCCAACCUCUGGGGAGCCAGGUGUCAGGUCCUCCUGACACUAACCGGGUGGUUCUGUCUAUCCAUUAGAUCACUGAUGUUCCCUCAAAGCUCCCGAGACCGAAGGAGUCCUAUUGUGGUCUUAGGGAAAUAAAAGGACUCACUGAGUCAUCCCAGAUGCUAGCCAGCAAAGAACCAGGCCUCAGAACAAAUUCUUGUAAUCUCCAGCAGCAGGGUUAGAUAGUGGUUGGAAACAUAUCUGCUGGACCUAGAGCUAGGAACAUUUUUAUAACAAAAAUUGGGGGUAGGAAAGCCUAAACUGUCUCAUUUGAGUUAUAGAUGAGAGAACAGGAUUACACAGAGGAGAGAACAGGCUAGUCCAUCAGGGACUUGGAGCGGUGCCUAGAAGGUGGUAACAGAUUUAAGAUCUGAACAUUCAGGAAUGUGCAAUGGUAUUUUAUUGUUUUCGAUCUGCCUGUAGCUAUUAACUGAGGCCCUCCCACAAUUCUCCUUCCCUCUGUUCUCCAGAAUCAAAUUUAGGACACAUCAGAAUUUUUCUCUCGUCACUAAGAAUCUUUGAAAAAUGUCACAAUCUCUCAUGAUGGAGCCAGUAUAGGUGCUUCUAAUGUGCUGCUGAAUUUGGGAGCCACAGCACCAAGUGGCACAGAAGUGACAGGCUACCAGCGGCUCCUCGUGUGCACA
rnacentral:lncRNA from 1 species